UCCCAGUGGCUUGGCCAGCGCAGGACCAGGGCCCCGGGCGGGUUAGGAAAAUCGUCCCGUGUGGGUGUGCGUGUGGGUGUCCCGGCCGAUCCCAAGCCGUGACCAGAAGCUGGUUUCUCUCUUCUCAGCCCCUGACUCCCAGUUCCCUCCCUUGUAAGUGUCUCCCCCUCCGUCCCUCUGUCUCUCUGUCCCACGGGGCAGCCGAGGGCCCCCAGCUUCAUGCUUUGCCCUGCCAGUCGAGGGCUGCGGUCGGUUGGGACAUUUUAAGUCUUGGGACCACCCUUGGCCUGUUGGCCGCAGGUGGGAUUUCGUGAUUUGUCUGGACUUCAGCCCCAGAGCCGAGGCACGGGGCCAGCUGCCCCGAGUGCGCGUGCUACCAGAGGCGGUAUCUCGGACAGAGGGGACGUGAGACUCUGAACGGUGGCAUCCUCAGCUAAGAGGGGGCGGGACGCCGCUUAGGGCUUCCGCACAGACAUUCACUUUCCAGAAUGGCAGGAGACACCUUCACCGAGCCCUGCAUGAGAAGAAAGCAAACCUCACACAGACUCACGGCCGCCCUUGGCUCAGGCCUUCGGGUGAGGUGAAGCCCUCUCACCUCACCUGGGGGUAGCUCCUGAGGGUCUGGGGACCCGUGGCUGCCCCCCCCCCCUCCAUGGUAGAGGGAAACAAGGGCUCGUUGUAAAAGAGGAGGGAGGAAACCCCACAGCCUGGCCCUUUGGGGUGGACAGAAAAGCCCGGGCUCCUGGGAGAAUAUCCCGCAGGCCCGGGCCCACGGGGCCACCCCAGGGCCUGGCGCUGAGGUGCCUUCCAGCCAGCGCAGCGUGAGGCCACUUGCCGCCUGGAGGGAUCCGAGGGGUGAGGAGACCUCACCGUCAGCAUCAGUCUCCCUGGCAACACAGUGUUUUUGACAAGUCAGGCUUCUGUCCUAUUAGUUUCCUGUCGGUUGCUUAGUAACCGCCCAGGGCUCGUUCUCAGUCACUGUGUGUGAGCCAGCAUUCGGGGACUCGAUCCUGGAACAGGGUGUCCCUCUGCUUCGCUCUGCACCGAAGUGCUUUGCCCUGCCCCGGUGGAAGGCGGUGGGAGGGGCACGUCCUGUCCACCCCGCGACAGCAGAUGGCGGAGAGCCAGUAGCCUGGGGUCCGCUUGAAGGUCAGGCUCACCGUCUGUCCCCAUCUUCCCUUUUUGCCAAGUCCCUGCUGUCCCUGGGCUCGGCCCUGUGGAGAGACACCCCUGCAAGGCUCCUGGCCCCCAGGCUGCCCCGUAGACUGGAUGGCAUGCUAGAGGGAGACAGGUGUCCUGAACACCAAGCCAGCGUUUGGGUCCGCUCUGUCCACAGAUGGUGGCCAGCUGCAGUAACACUUGAGGCUCAGCAAGACGCCUGGCACAGGAGAACCCAAGGCCUCUGGAAGUUCCUUCUCUAAGUUUCUCUCCUGGGAGCUCACGCACAUCCAUAGCUUCACUCCUGUGGCAGGAGCUCUGUGCCAACCCUCUUUCUGAUUUCUGAAAUCACUGAAGCUGUGAUCCCCUGGGAAACCUGCCCCACAUGGUAUUAUCUGCUCCCCGGGCUCUCGACGUGAGUUUGGAAAUGAAGCUUGGAGUUUGGAAAUGAAGACUGAUAGGUGGUGCUUCCGCAUAUCUGUCCUGUGUUGGAGCGUUUGUUGGCAGCUGGGCUCACGGAAGUCGUCCAGGAGGAUCUUGAAUUUUUCGAGGAAGUGUUAUUCGGACAUCGAGACAUCUGUCGAUACUCUUUGAUUCUGUAUAAAUGAUGAUCAGUGAAGACGCACAGACUAGCUGUUCUCACGUUUUCACAUCCUACAGUGACUACGAGAAUGGCUUCGGGAAGAAAGGUCAAUUCGCGGGACACUGAGUGCCAGCUCAGAGCCAGCCACAGCCCCGAGGAGAGAGGCCACGUGGGGCCAUGCUGUCCACCUCUCCUGACUCCCUUCCCCAUCACCCAGACUAGCUGGCGACAUUCAUGGCAUAAUUAUAUGCAUCCCCGUGCAAAGACUUUCGAAAGUUCAUCUACGUCAGACCCUCCCAGGAUCACCCCGUGAAGUCCACCCUUACAAGUCACUUAAUGUUUGUCUGGUCCUCGGUUCCCCACUGUACGUGAUACCUUUGAACUUGAUUUUCUCUCUGCAAGGUCCUUUUCAGCUCUGAAUUCCCAUGACUUUUCAGUUCGGAGGAAGGCAGUGUCUAAAUGCAAGGUUGUGAUCACCACUUUCUUUUUUUGUUGUCUAAUUACGGUUAUGCGAGAAGAAUGUUCCCUCUCCUCAGGCAGGGCUUUUAAAAAUGCAAAUGUAAAUGUUCCACGUUAUUUUUCUUUAAUGCUGUGACUCCUUAUAAAGUAAAAAACUAGCAGGAUUAUGAAUACGUGAUGGAUUUUUGGAUGCCUUUCCAGCAUGUUCUUUACUGAGAAACAACAGACCGUAAGUCCCGUCCAAACAACCCAGAAAUUAAUGCCUCGUGUGAAUUGUUGACUGUUGCUUAGCAUUUUGGCCAGAAUCGGUGAUUAAAAACUGAGGGGUAUGAACAGAAUGGACUUGAAAAAUUGUGGAACUCAUGACACUAAGUCCAAUUUUUAUUUACACGAGACUGGCCAAAACCUUGAAAUUUACUUAUAAAUAUUGGUUCCUGGUGAAAAACUUGUUAAAUUCCUUUGCAUCAUAAAUAUUGGAAAUAUUUAAGGACGGUGUAGCGUCUCCGAUUCCAGACUUUGAAAGGCUAGGGGAAAAGCUGAGUUACGCACGGUGAUGACUGGGGAGUCCUCACCCUAGCUCUGCAUGAAGCUGGUUUUCCAGAUAAAGCCUCCGCGGUUCUGCCCAGUGUGAGUCAGGCCUCCCCUUGGCAGUGGACACGUCUGAGCGUUGUGUACCCCCUGAAUUGUUUUCUUCCCUCCACCUCACCCGUCCUCGGGCCCUGCUCUCCUAGGUACCAGAGAUGGGCACGAACCCCCCCAGCUCUGGCCUUCUGGGCGGUGACUGAUGACGUAUUCUGAGGUUCAGUAAGAGCCUGUCCUCAUGAAAAGGGCGUGAUUGGAAACACUGGUUAUGCCACUGAGACUUUGACUGGAACGUCACAUUUGGGAACCAUGCUCACCGAAUCACAUGGGACCAGAUGUUUCCAAGGAGCUAAGGUCCGCUUUAUAGAGCUGAUGCUUCAAAGUCCUCUUGGCAAAACUGGUCUGGUACUUUGCUCACCGGGCUCCAAGCCUCACAAGUGAGUAAGGAUGGUCACUUCCUGGAAGACUCAGGAAACUUGAGAUAGUUUGGAGACCUCAAGAAGAGAGGAGUUCAUCUAAAUCUACAUGUUUUGCAAGUGAAA